UGCCCUAGUAACGGCGAGUGAAGCGGCAACAGCUCAAAUUUGAAAUCUGGCCUUCGGGUCCGAGUUGUAAUUUGCAGAGGAUGCUUUUGGCGCGGUGCCUUCCGAGUUCCCUGGAACGGGACGCCUUAGAGGGUGAGAGCCCCGUACGGUUGGACACCAAGCCUCUGUAAAGCUCCUUCGACGAGUCGAGUAGUUUGGGAAUGCUGCUCUAAAUGGGAGGUAAAUUUCUUCUAAAGCUAAAUAUUGGCCAGAGACCGAUAGCGCACAAGUAGAGUGAUCGAAAGAUGAAAAGCACUUUGAAAAGAGGGUUAAACAGCACGUGAAAUUGUUGAAAGGGAAGCGUUUGCGACCAGACCUUCUCCUGGCGGAUCAUCCGGUGGUUUCCACCGGUGCACUUCGCCAGGUCGAGGCCAGCAUCGGUCUUUGUAGGGGGAUAAAAGCUCAGGGAACGUAGCUCCUCCGGGAGUGUUAUAGCCCUCCGCAUAAUACCUUUACGGGGACCGAGGACCGCGCCUUCGGGCAAGGAUGCUGGCGUAAUGGUUGUCAACGACCCGUCUUGAAACACGGACCAAGGAGUCGAACAUUUGUGCGAGUGUUUGGGUGUUAAACCCUCACGCGUAAUGAAAGUGAACGGAGGUGAGAGCCCUUACGGGUGCAUCAUCGACCGAUCCUGAUGUCUUCGGAUGGAUUUGAGUAAGAGCAUAACUGUUCGGACCCGAAAGAUGGUGAACUAUGCGUGGAUAGGGUGAAGCCAGAGGAAACUCUGGUGGAGGCUCGCAGCGGUUCUGACGUGCAAAUCGAUCGUCAAAUCUGCGCAUGGGGGCGAAAGACUUAUCGAACCAUCUAGUAGCUGGUUACCGCCGAAGUUUCCCUCAGGAUAGCAGUGUUGUUCUUCAGUUUUAUGAGGUAAAGCGAAUGAUUAGGGACUCGGGGGCGCUUUUUUGCCUUCAUCCAUUCUCAAACUUUAAAUAUGUAAGAAGCCCUUGUUACUUAAUUGAACGUGGGCAUUCGAAUGUACCAACACUAGUGGGCCAUUUUUGGUAAGCAGAACUGGCGAUGCGGGAUGAACCGAACGCGGGGUUAAGGUGCCGGAGUGGACGCUCAUCAGACACCACAAAAGGUGUUAGCACAUUUAGACAAUAGGACGGUGGCCAUGGAAGUCGGAAUCCGCUAAGGACUGUGUAACAACUCACCUAUCGAAUGUGCUAGCCCUGAAAAUGGAUGGCGCUCAAGCGUCCCACCCAUACCUCGCCCUCAGGGUAGAAACGAUGCCCUGAGGAGUAGGCGGCCGUGGAGGUUAG
rnacentral:rRNA from 1 species